CGCCGGGGCGCACGUGACAUCAGAUAUGGCUGACAAAAACAAAGCGGGUGUUUCGAACACACGAACAGAAGGAAUCACUCUCAAUAAACAAGCAUUACAAGCAACCAAAGACGAUAAUGCAUCUGUUCCUAUUCCUGGAGGCAUUAGUGAAUCUAUGAUGAUGGACAUCGAUGACUCCAAGAGCGAGACAACGAGUCAGUCUCAUGACAGCACCAACUCCAGGUCGGAAACCCCAACCAGUAUGGUUACUACAGGCUCAGAUCAGGCCCUCGUAGCCAAGAGAUGGGCAAGGGGUAGAUGGAAGUCAAAGAAAUGCAAGUGGCAGUUCAAGUAUAGUUGUCACGUUAAGGAGGACCACGGACAGCCAAUAUUUGGAGUAAUCUUCAAUCCGUAUCGGAAGGAAAAUGACCCAAAUGUCUUCUGUUCAGUCGGUAGUAAUCGUGUAUCGAUCUAUGAGCUUCACGACGACGGAAAGAUAAAACUGCUGCAGAGCUAUGUGGAUACAGACUCUGAUGAAAACUUCUACACUUGUGCAUGGACGUACGAAGAGAGAACGGGUCUCCUUCUCUUAGCUGUGGCAGGCUCCAGAGGCGUCAUCAGAAUCAUCAGCCCUAUAACUCUACAGUGUAUCAAGCAUUUCAUCGCCCAUGGCAACGCAGUAAAUGAAUUGAAGACACACCCGCAUGAUUCUAACCUACUUCUCUCAGUCAGCAAAGAUCAUUCGGUCAGAUUGUGGAAUCUGAAGACAGACACAUUGGUCGCCAUCUUUGGUGGGGUCGAAGGUCAUCGAGAUGAAGUUCUAUCAGGGGACUUUGACAUCGAUGGUCUGAGGAUAGCAUCGUGCGGUAUGGACCAUUCACUCAAAAUAUGGAAUCUACAGAAGGCCAAUAUUCAACAAGCAAUUCAGGAGUCACACGCAUACACUGCAUCUAAGACAAAUAAGCCAUUCAAGUCUCUGUAUGUAAACACACCUGACUUCACAACCCGUGACAUCCAUAGGAACUAUGUUGAUUGUGUGCGCUGGCUGGGUGACUUUGUGCUUUCCAAGUCUUGUGAGAAUUGCAUCGUUUGUUGGAAACCUGGCGGUAUCCAUGACCCCGUAGAGAUUAUCAAGCCUUCCAUGUCAGAGGUCACCGUCUUGACCCAGUCCAAUUACACUAAUAUCAAACAUUUUAUCUUGCACCCUUACUGUACAUAACCUCUUUUCAUCCCCACAGUCUUGUGAGAAUUGCAUCGUUUGUUGGAAACCUGGCGGUAUCCAUGACCCCGUAGAGAUUAUCAAGCCUUCCAUGUCAGAGGUCACGGUCUUGACCAGGUUCAACUACACACAAUGUGACAUU
rnacentral:misc_RNA from 1 species